AGAAUCAACGCUGGCGGCGUGCCUCAGACAUGCAAGUCGAACGCGAAAGUUUCCUUCGGGAGAUGAGUAGAGUGGCGCACGGGUGAGUAACACGUAGGUAAUCUACCUUUGGAUGGGGAAUAACAACCGGAAACGGUUGCUAAUACCGCAUAAUGCAGCGGCACCUAAUGGUGACAGUUGUUAAAGCGGGGGAUCGAAAGACCUCGCGUCUAAAGAGGAGCCUGCGGCGGAUUAGCUAGUUGGUAGGGUAAUGGCUUACCAAGGCCACGAUCC
rnacentral:rRNA from 1 species